rnacentral:rRNA from 1 species
GCUUGAGCUUGAUCCUGGCUCAGAUUGAACGCUGGCGGCAGGCCUAACACAUGCAAGUCGAGCGGCAGCACGGGAAGCUUGCUUCCUGGUGGCGAGCGGCGGACGGGUGAGUAAUGCAUAGGAAUCUGCCCGAUAGUGGGGGAUAACCUGGGGAAACCCAGGCUAAUACCGCAUACGUCCUACGGGAGAAAGCAGGGGCUCUUCGGACCUUGCGCUAUCGGAUGAGCCUAUGUCGGAUUAGCUGGUUGGUGAGGUAAUGGCUCACCAAGGCGACGAUCCGUAGCUGGUCUGAGAGGAUGAUCAGCCACAUCGGGACUGAGACACGGCCCGAACUCCUACGGGAGGCAGCAGUGGGGAAUAUUGGACAAUGGGCGCAAGCCUGAUCCAGCCAUGCCGCGUGUGUGAAGAAGGCCCUCGGGUUGUAAAGCACUUUCAGUGGGGAAGAAAGCCUGGUGGUUAAUACCCGUCAGGAAGGACAUCACCCACAGAGAGCCG